rnacentral:tRNA from 1 species
GCGGAAAGUCAAGGAUCUGCGGCGGUGACCGCGCUACUGCCUUCCAAGCAGGCUGUCGCGGGUUCGAAUCCCGUCUCCCGCUCCA